rnacentral:rRNA from 1 species
UACAGAGGGGGCAAGCGUUGUUCGGAAUUACUGGGCGUAAAGGGCUCGUAGGCGGCCAACUAAGUCGGACGUGAAAUCCCUCGGCUUAACCGGGGAACUGCGUCCGAUACUGGAUGGCUUGAGUUCGGGAGAGGGAUGCGGAAUUCCAGGUGUAGCGGUGGAAUGCGUAGAGAUCCGGAGGAAGACCGGUGGCGAAGGCGGUCUGCUGGGCAGUUUCUGACACUGAUGCGCGACAGCGUGGGGAGCAAACAGG